GCUUUUUCUUUCUUCUAGGUUGUAUGGCAUCCUUGAAGACGCUACUGGUGGAAUUAAUCACUUCUCCAUAUACCAGAGCACUGACAUCCUGAGUUUGUUACAUCAAAGGAUAUUGACUGAGAAGACAAAUAAUCAAAUGACCCGUAACGCAGGUCUUUCAACUGAAUAUUGAAAAACUGCACUCCUUACCGUGGCAUCAGUUGCUGUAGCCAUGUUUGCUAACUUCUAAAUGCUGGGAUGUGAGCCAUCAGCUUAUUUGGAGAAUUACUGCCUGCAGAGUCAUGUGCUGUAAUGGGUUGGGCACCCUAAUAAAGGAGUUAACUUAUUUGAAUCUGCUUGGCUG
rnacentral:lncRNA from 1 species